rnacentral:rRNA from 1 species
AACGCGAAGAACCUUACCAGGUCUUGACAUCCAACUAACGAAGCAGAGAUGCGUUAGGUGCCCUUCGGGGAAAGUUGAGACAGGUGGUGCAUGGUUGUCGUCAGCUCGUGUCGUGAGAUGUUGGGUUAAGUCCCGCAACGAGCGCAACCCCUGCCAUUAGUUGCUACGCAAGAGCACUCUAAUGGGACCGCUACCGACAAGGUGGAGGAAGGUGGGGACGACGUCAAAUCAUCAUGCCCCUUAUGACCUGGGCUACACACGUAAUACAAUGGCCGUUUAACAGCAGGAAGCGAAGGCGCGAGCCGGAGCAAACCCCCAAAAACGGUCUCAGUUCGGAUCGCAGGCUGAAACCCGCCUGCGUGAAGUUGGAAUUGCUAGUAAUCGCGAAUCAGCAUGUCGCGGUGAAUACGUUCCCGGGCCUUGUACACACCG